GAUUAGUUCCUUUAAUAUUAGGAGCCCCAGAUAUAGCAUUUCCCCGAAUAAAUAAUAUAAGAUUUUGACUUUUACCUCCUUCAAUUUCAUUAUUACUCUUAAGAUCAAUAAUUGAAAAAGGGGCAGGGACUGGAUGAACUGUCUAUCCUCCUUUAUCAGCUAAUAUAGCCCAUAGAGGCCCAUCAGUAGACCUAGUAAUUUUUAGACUUCAUUUAGCGGGAAUUUCAUCAAUUUUAGGGGCUGUAAAUUUUAUUUCAACAAUUAUUAAUAUACGACCAUUAAAUAUAAUAUUUGACCAAAUACCUUUAUUUAUUUGAGCUGUUUUAAUUACAGCUAUUUUACUAUUAUUAAGAUUACCUGUAUUAGCUGGAGCAAUCACAAUACUGUUAACUGAUCGAAAUAUUAAUUCAUCAUUUUUUGAUCCCUCUGGAG
rnacentral:rRNA from 1 species